GUACUGGCUUUGGCAGCACAUAUACUAAAACUGGCAUCAUACAGAGAAGGUUAAGCAUGGCUCCUCUACAAGGAUGACACACAAAACAGUCCCAUCUAGAAAGCAUGG
ensembl:snRNA U6 U6 spliceosomal RNA